GGGAGGAAAGUGAGAGAGAGAGACAGACAAAAGCAAGAAAAAAGAAAAAGACUUUCCCUUUUACCAUACAAAAGAAGCUUAACAAAAGUUGGAUUUCAGAAUUUUUCCCUUUGGGAAUCUUCACUUUGAUCUCUCCUGCCUCUGCAAGCUCCAGCUCUCGUGAUCUGUGAUUUCCAUCUUCAAUUUCAAACUCACAAUUCAACUGGGUCUUCUUUGUCUUAUCUAUUUACCUAUUUGUUAUGCUGCUUUUGGCUUUGUUAUGAGGGGAUUGGGUGGGGUAUAGUGUGGUUUUCGUUGCCUUUUUGGUUGAGAUCUUACGUAGCUGUUGGUUGAGUUUAGUCUUUUCUUGUAUCAUUUGCUUUAUCUGUUGUGGAAGGAGAUACCUAAUUUUUGUUGUAUUUUAGAGAAUAGCAGCUUCUGGAGUUCUGGUUAUUCAUUACUGUGAAUCACAACUAAUUCAAGAAAUCUUGAGUGCUGCUCUGAGUGAGAAUUACCCGUCAUUUUUUUGCCUUCUUUUUUGGGGUCAAAAUUUGAUGUUUGUCAAAACUUAGUGAUAUUGUAUUUGGUGGCUGUUUGUUUGUUUAUAUUUUUGUAUUUUUCUGAUUUUUUUUUGUAUUGAAUUUUUGUUGCUUUGGGGGCUGAGGGAGCGAUUUAUGAAAACAAGAAAAUAUUUGCUUUUUUGUUUUCAACUUUUGACUAUCAAAUUUCGUAGUGUUUGAGUUCUGGGGAUGCUGGGGGAGGGGUAGAGAGAAAGCAAGUGAAGCAAAAAUCCAUCUGGCUACCGUGGAGAUCUGGGACUUGUUUCAUCUCUUAUUCCCAAUGAGGACUUUCUUCCCAUCUGAGUCAUGUAAAGAGUCACAACUCAAUGCUUUGAAUCCACAGUCAUGGCUUCAGGUUGAAAGAGGGAAACUAUCAAAACUCUCUUCUUCCAAACUCUCUUCAUGCUCUUCUUCUUCCUCCAUAGAAUCACUUAUCAAGGUUCCUGAACCUCCAGUGCUACCAUUCUUUAAACCAGUUGAUUAUGUAGAAGUUUUAGCUCAGGUUCAUGAAGAACUUGAAUCAUGUCCUCCACAAGAGAGGUCAAAUCUCUAUUUAUUUCAAUUUCAGGUCUUUAGAGGCCUUGGGGAAGUCAAAUUGAUGCGGAGAAGCCUCCGCUCAGCAUGGCAGAAAUCUAGUACUGUGCAUGAGAAGAUAGUAUUUGGGGCAUGGUUAAAGUAUGAGAAGCAAGGAGAGGAGCUUAUUUCUGACUUGCUUGCCAGUUGUGGUAAAUGUGCAGAAGAGUUUGGACCAAUAGAUGUUGUCUCCCAGCUUUAUGCUGAUUUAAGUUCGAAUUUUAAUGAGCCCGCUUUAGUCAAUGCUGACUGUAAUUUGAGAAAUGUCAUCUUUAAAAUUGGAGAUGAGAAGAUAGUUUGUGAUAGGAAGAAAAUUGCGGGCCUUUCUGCUCCAUUCCAUGCUAUGCUUAAUGGGUGUUUCUCAGAAUCUCUUUGUGAAAUCAUAGAUUUUUCUGAAAACAACAUAUCCCCUUUGGGAUUUAAGGCAAUAAGUGAAUUCAGUGUGACUGGAAAUUUGAAUGAAGUCUCCCCAAAUAUUUUGCUAGAAAUAUUGAUUUUUGCAAACAAGUUUUGUUGUGAAAGGCUAAAAGAUGCAUGUGAUAGGAAACUUGCAUCUUUGGUUUCCUCUGUAGAAGAUGCUGUAGAACUUAUGGAAUUUGCUCUUCAAGAGAACUCUUCCGUCCUUGCUGCAUCAUGUUUGCGAGUUUUCUUGCACGAGCUUCCUACUUGUUUGAAUGAUGAUCGAGUGGUGGAAAUAUUUAGCCAUGCUGAUAAACAAAAAAGAAUUAUUAUGGUUGGGGCUGCCUCAUUUUCUCUGUACUGUUUAUUAAGUGAAGUUGCCAUGAACCUUGAUCCUCAGUCCAAUAAAACAGCUUGCUUCCUAGAAAGGUUGGUGGAAUCAGCUGAAACCAAGCAGCAGAAACUUUUGGCUUUUCAUCAGUUGGGAUGUGUAAGGCUUUUGAGGAAAGAGUAUGAUGAAGCUGAACGUCUUUUUGAGGCAGCUUUGAAUGCUGGUCAUAUAUAUUCUGUAUCAGGUUUGGCUAGACUGGGUUACAUUAGGGGCCAUAGACUUUGGGCUUAUGACAGGCUUAGCUCUGUGAUUUCCUCUAUUACCCCACUGGGAUGGAUGUAUCAAGAGAGGUCCCUGUACUGCGAAGGCAUUAAUAAAUAUGAGGACCUUGAGAAAGCAACUGAGUUAGACCCGACUCUCACAUAUCCCUACAUGUAUCGUGCUGCUUCUUUGAUGAGGAGACAGAAUGUCCAAGCUGCACUUGCAGAAAUCAACAGGAUUCUUGGUUUUAAACUUGCAUUGGAAUGCUUGGAACUCCGAUUUUGUUUUUAUCUUGCUCUUGAGGAUUACCAAGCAGCCCUUUGUGAUGUUCAGGCAAUUCUUACACUCUCCCCAGAUUAUAGAAUGUUUGAGGGGCGGGUGGCAGCAUACCAACUUCGAACCCUUGUUCGUGAGCAUGUUGGGAAUUGGACAACAGCAGAUUGUUGGAUGCAAUUGUAUGAGAGGUGGUCUUCAGUUGAUGAUAUAGGAUCCCUCUCUGUCAUAUACCAAAUGCUUGAAUCUGAUGCACCAAAAGGUGUUCUAUACUUCAGGCAGUCUCUGCUUCUUCUUAGGUUGAACUGUCCUGAGGCAGCCAUGAAAAGCUUACAAUUAGCCCGUCAACAUGCUUCAACUGAACAUGAACGUCUAGUUUAUGAAGGAUGGAUCUUGUAUGACACUGGUCACUGUGAGGAAGGGCUUCGAAAAGCUGAGGAGUCUAUCAAAAUUAAUAGGUCUUUUGAGGCCUUCUUCCUUAAAGCCUAUGCACUGGCCGACUCUAGCCAGGAUCCAUCUUGUUCUGUAUCUGUUGUUUCACUGCUUGAAGAUGCUUUGAAGUGCCCUUCAGACAGACUGCGAAAAGGCCAGGCACUUAACAAUCUUGGAAGUGUAUAUGUAGACAGCGGGAAAUUAGAUUUGGCAGCUGAUUGCUACAUAAAUGCCCUUAAAAUCAGGCACACUAGAGCUCACCAGGGUCUUGCACGAGUCCAUUUUCUCAGAAAUGACAAGGCUGCUGCAUAUGAGGAAAUGACAAAACUGAUUGAGAAGGCCCGGAAUAAUGCAUCUGCUUAUGAAAAGAGGUCUGAGUACUGUGAUCGUGAACUUGCAAAAGCAGAUCUUGAGAUGGUCACAAAAUUAGAUCCACUUCGAGUGUACCCUUACAAAUAUCGAGCUGCAGGUCAGAUUAUUUUCCUUCUAUACCUCACCAUUGUACCACACAAAUAAUUUUCACAUGGAAAGAAUUGAAGUGCUCCACCUAAUAUUAUCAGUGAUUGUUGUAAGAAUUGAGUUGAGUUUUAAAGGGCCAAAUUAGUAAUUGAGUGAGAUGUUGCCAUGAUUGUUCCUUAUGUUGCAGCUGUUUGGACUCUUUGAACUUUCAGACAGAAAGAUGCUCUCAGUUUGAAUUUGUUGGUUUUUUUGGUUGAAUUUGUUAUAGAAGUCUUUUCUUUUUAUUGGUAAAGACAAGGUUUUUUAAGGAUCUUUUUCUUACAGAACUGCGCGACUGGGCUCCCGCAUCAUAUAAAGAUGAUAUCGAUAUAUAGUAUUAACACUUUAAAUUAUUAUUAUACUUAUGAUUUGGGUUUUUCGUUUCCAUGAAAUUGACAUUGAAGCUGCACUGCUUUUUGUAUUGGGGCAGUGUUGAUGGACAACCGCAAGGAGAAGGAAGCCAUAGCAGAACUAUCAAGGGCAAUUGCAUUCAAAGCAAACCUUCACCUUCUACACUUGAGAGCUGCAUUCUAUGAGCACAUUGGUGAUGUCUUGGGUGCCCUACGUGACUGUCGAGCUGCUCUCUCCGUCGACCCAAACCAUCAAGAAAUGUUGGAAUUUCACAGCCGUGUAAACAGCCAUGAACCCUGAAUCUGGAGGACAAACUAUGGCAUGCAAGAGAAAAAAAUGUGGUUCUUAUCAUCACCCUGUAUACUAUUCACUCCCCACCCUCAAUUUUUUUUUUCUCUUUAUUUUUCUUUGUAACUUAUGCUUUUCCAUUUUUGUAAUUUAAUUAAUUAAUGUGAAAGCAUCCAUGUUUCUUCCAUGUUAUAGCCAAUUCGACCCAAUAGUUGAAGGACGUCCUGGC
rnacentral:misc_RNA from 1 species